CUCAGAAGAGAAAGAGCUGAAAUGAAACCAAGAGCUUUGCCUGCUCUGAGCUUCUGUAGAAAAGAUUGAAGCGGGGGACCGGCACUUUCCAGCAAGGGCUGCGUGUAGCGCCCAUCGCCUCACGGGCCGCUCCCGGCCCUGCUGCCGCUCCCUCACAGAGCUGUGCCCACACGGCCCGCUGCCGCGGCCCGGCCGGCCGAGGAGCUGCCCCUGAGGGCAGGGGAAGGGAGGUGUCCUGCUCACCCUGCACCCCUGGGAAAGGGGUGCCAGCAGCCAGAGGCUCAGGAGGACCAGGUGAGGAGCAGCCCAUCGAGGAGAGUCAAGUGGUGGGGCCGGCUCUGUGCAGCCACAGAGCCCUCUUGUGUUGUCUGCUGGGUUGCAGACCAGCCAGAAGAGCAGCCGGUUCCUUUCACGAGACCAAGCAAGGCAACCUUCCUUUGGACCCAUCUCCGUUCAGUGCUGUCUCCCUUUGAGGGAAGCCACCUCAGGCACCGGGACUUUGUGCAGUGGAGACUAAUGAGGAAAGCUCAGCUCCUGUCCUUCGGAAAACCAUCUCGAGAAUGAAGUCAGGAGCUGCUCUAAAUUCAGCCACUGUCCCUUCAGGAUGGGCUAGGGAUGUACAAAGCAAAAGCCUGCUGCCUUGAUGUAUACAUUGUGUAGGCUGUAAGGAGCAUCUCUAGCACAGAGCAAGGCAGAGGAAUGGGAUCCAGUGGCUGUACAGGGAAUAACAGCUCUGAACUACUCUGUGAAUGAAGCAAUAGAGGAGACCAGCUUUGCCUUGAUGGAGGGUGCACGUGGGCCUGCAGGAAUAAUUUGAAAGGAUUGGACUUUGAAAAAUUCUCUGCAGCCAAGCUAAGAAAGCCUUCAUUGGGCUGACCUGAUGUGUUGAAAUGUCUUUCAUAGCUCAGUUCUGAAAGCCUUCCUGUCCGAACCUGAAACCUCUUUGUCACUAUUAUACCCUGAGCCAUCACACAGAGCCCAUUUUUUGCCAUUCAACUGUUCUGCCCACAUGAAAGGAUGGAGCUUAGUCUCACCUGGAACUAUCACCAAUGUUGCACUGUUCUGUGGCCAAAACCCGUGCCAGGAACAGCCACUGAAUGUCACACAACUGAUUGAUAUGGCAAAGUGGUGAAUUUUGGGAUGCACAGCUUUGGGUCCUGUCUCCCAGGCUUGCUGAACCUCAGAAGCCUGAGCAGAAACAUGUGGUCUUCUUUGACUCUUUGUAGGUUCCAUGUCCCAAAUGCUGAUAGCAAGACUGAGGUAAUUUCAGGUGCUGAGAAUGAGUAAUUGCAAAUUCUCAUUCUCUGCAUAUGUAUGGCUAACAGUAAACAGCUGGUCAGGAGUAUCUGGCUCUUGGACUAGUUGACUUGAAGUCCUGUAGCUUCAGUGAAUUUUAAAACAGGGCUUUCCAGGGGAUCUUCAAAAUACUGACCUCUGGCAAGAAAGAUCAUAAUUUGCUGAAAUAAUCAAAGCUUGGCAUAUAACAGCCUCAGGACCCUUUCUCCCUUUGCCCCAGACUUACAUUGAAUGAAUUUAAUGCCCUGGUAGCUGUAGUGUCUUGCUUCAUACAAACACUAACAGUGAAUUGGUCCAACAGUUGUGCUGGAAAUAGCAUGCUAUCUCUUUGCCUCCUCCUUCUCUUCCUCCUGCCUGUCAUUUUUGUUUGCUUGCUUGCUUUUGUUUUUCUUUCUUGGCAUGGGAGAUUUAUCAUAUUUGGGAUAUAGAUUCCUGGGGCCAUGAAAAGCUUGAGAAAACUUUAACAGUGUUUUUGGGGCCUUAAAAUUCAAAAUCUUAAGCUUGGUUAAGUAAGCAAGUCUGGGCAAAUGGUGAAUGCCAGUGAUCUGCUCUUUUGAAAUGGAGAGCUAUCUUAGUGGAACAGACUCUGCUUUGAAUCAGGUAAAAUGUAUAAAAUGUACCACCUCAGACACACCUCACACUGACAGGCAUGAGCUGUGUGCAGAUUGGUAAAAUCUGUCUGUGUUUUCCCUGGUGUUUUUCUUGAGUGCAAGCAUUUGUUCUACUUUGACUUUAAUUAGUCCCUCAUAGUGCUGCUCUGACAGACUAAAUUAGGUGUCAGUAAUAAUAUACUUUGUAAAUGCUAUGUCUGUACAGAAAUUCUCCAUGCCAAGGCUAGGAUUAUUUUCCAUGUCUAUCCACUGCACGUAAUUAUCCAUUAAUGUAGAAAUAUAUGAGGAGCACUGGCUACGUCUUAUAUUGUUCCAUUUCUCAGGUAUUACUCCUGUUAUUAGUGGCUUAUCCACAGGACAGCAAGUCUGCUCCUCAAUCAAGUGAAAUAAAUGUUUAAUAUGGAGAUAAGGUGUAGCA
ensembl:lncRNA